rnacentral:rRNA from 1 species
UGGUGGAGUGAUUUGUCUGGUUAAUUCCGUUAACGAACGAGACCUCGACCUGCUAAAUAGAUCCGGAAAUCCAUCUGGAUUUUUUGGAGACUUCUUAGAGGGACUAUCGGUGUGUAGCCGAUGGAAGUUCGAGGCAAUAACA